GAUGAACGCUGGCGGCGUGCCUAAUACAUGCAAGUCGAGCGAACGGACGAGAAGCUUGCUUCUCUGAUGUUAGCGGCGGACGGGUGAGUAACACGUGGAUAACCUACCUAUAAGACUGGGAUAACUUCGGGAAACCGGAGCUAAUACCGGAUGAUAUUUUGAACCGCAUGGUUCAAAAGUGAAAGACGGUCUUGCUGUCACUUAUAGAUGGAUCCGCGCUGCAUUAGCUAGUUGGUAAGGUAACGGCUUACCAAGGCAACGAUGCAUAGCCGACCUGAGAGGGUGAUCGGCCACACUGGAACUGAGACACGGUCCAGACUCCUAGGGGAGGCAGAGUAGGGAAUCUUCCGCAAUGGGCGAAAGCCUGACGGAGCAACGCCGCGUGAGUGAUGAAGGUCUUCGGAUCGUAAAACUCUGUUAUUAGGGAAGAACAUAUGUGUAAGUAACUGUGCACAUCUUGACGGUACCUAAUCAGAAAGCCACGGCUAACUACGUG
rnacentral:rRNA from 1 species